CCUGAUGCAGCGACGCCGCGUGAGGGAUGAAGGCCUUCGGGUUGUAAACCUCUUUCAGUAGGGAAGAAGCGACUGGGUUCUCUCAAUCGUGACGGUACCUGCAGAAGAAGCGCCGGCUAACUACGUGCCAGCAGCCGCGGUAAUACGUAGGGCGCAAGCGUUGUCCGGAAUUAUUGGGCGUAAAGAGCUCGUAGGCGGUUUGUCGCGUCUGGUGUGAAAACUCAAGGCUCAACCUUGAGCUUGCAUCGGGUACGGGCAGACUAGAGUGUGGUAGGGGUGACUGGAAUUCCUGGUGUAGCGGUGGAAUGCGCAGAUAUCAGGAGGAACACCGAUGGCGAAGGCAGGUCACUGGGCCACUACUGACGCUGAGGAGCGAAAGCAUGGGGAGCGAACAGGAUUAGAUACCCUGGUAGUCCAUGCCGUAAACGUUGGGCACUAGGUGUGGGGCUCAUUCCACGAGUUCCGCGCCGCAGCUAACGCAUUAAGUGCCCCGCCUGGGGAGUACGGCCGCAAGGCUAAAACUCAAAGGAAUUGACGGGGGCCCGCACAAGCGGCGGAGCAUGCGGAUUAAUUCGAUGCAACGCGAAGAACCUUACCAAGGCUUGACAUACACCGGAAUCAUGCAGAGAUGUGUG
rnacentral:rRNA from 1 species